GGCGGCAUGCUUACCAUGCAAGUCGAAGGCAGCACGGGAGCAUCCUGGUGGCGAGUGGCGAACGGUGAGUAAUAUAUCGGAACGUGCCCAGUCGUGGGGGAUAACGUACCAAAGCUACGCUAUACCCAUACAAUCUAUGGAUGAAAGCGGGGGAUCGCAAGACCUCCGCGAUUGGAGCGGCCGAUAUCAGAUUAGGUAGUUGGUGAGGUAAAGGCUCACCAAGCCGACGAUCUGUAGCUGGUCUGAGAGGACGACCAGCCACACUGGGACUGAGACACGGCCCAGACUCCUACGGGAGGCAGCAGUGGGGAAUUUUGGACAAUGGGCGCAAGCCUGAUCCAGCAAUGCCGCGU
rnacentral:rRNA from 1 species